UACGUAGGGUGCGAGCGUUGUCCGGAAUUACUGGGCGUAAAGAGCUCGUAGGUGGUUUGUCGCGUUGUUCGUGAAAACCUGAGGCUUAACCUUGGGCGUGCGGGCGAUACGGGCAGACUGGAGUACUGCAGGGGAGACUGGAAUUCCUGGUGUAGCGGUGGAAUGCGCAGAUAUCAGGAGGAACACCAAUAGCGAAGGCAGCUCGCUGGGACGUUACUGACACUAAGGCGCGAAAGCGUGGGGAGCGAACAGG
rnacentral:rRNA from 1 species